rnacentral:rRNA from 1 species
GUCUAUGGCCACGCCAUCCUGAACAAGACCGAUCCUGUCUGAUCUCAGAAGCUAAGCAGGGUCGGGCCUGGUUAGUACUUGGAUGGGAGACCACCUUGGAAGACCAGGUGCUGCAGGUG